CCUACGUGGGGCAGCAGUGGGGGAUAUUGCACAAUGGGGGGAACCCUGAUGCAGCGACGCCGCGUGGGUGAAGAAGCGCCUCGGCGCGUACAGCCCUUUCAGCAGGGAAGAAAAUGACGGUACCUGACGAAUAAGCCCCGGCUAACUACGUGCCAGCAGCCGCGGUAAUACGUAGGGGGCAAGCGUUAUCCGGAUUUACUGGGUGUAAAGGGCGCGGAGCCGGCGGUGCAAGCCAGGAGUGAAAGCCCGUGGCUUAACCCCGGAACUGCUCUUGGAACUGCGUGGCUGGAGUGCAGGAGGGGCAGGCGGAAUUCCUGGUGUAGCGGUGAAAUGCGUAGAUAUCAGGAGGAACACCGGUGGCGAAGGCGGCCUGCUGGACUGCAACUGACGUUGAGGCCCGAAAGCGUGGGGAGCAAACAGGAUUAGAUACCCGAGUAGUC
rnacentral:rRNA from 1 species